AGGAUGUUUCGGGUGAUGGGCCGGCCUAAGUUCCUUGGAACAGGGCGUCAUAGAGGGUGAGAAUCCCGUCUGUGGUCGGUCUCGGACCCCGUCAGAAGCUCCUUCGACGAGUCGAGUUGUUUGGGAAUGCAGCUCUAAAUGGGUGGUAAAUUUCAUCUAAAGCUAAAUACCGGCCGGAGACCGAUAGCGCACAAGUAGAGUGAUCGAAAGAUGAAAAGCACUUUGGAAAGAGAGUCAAACAGUAUGUGAAAUUGUUGAAAGGGAAGCGCCUGCGACCAGACCUGUCUUCGGGUGUUCACCCGCCGUUCGCGGCGGGGCAUUCGCCCGAUAGCGGGCCAGCAUCGGUCUUGGCGGCCGGCUAAAGGCCCUGGGAACGUACCUACCCCCCGGGGAAGGCUUAUAGCCCGGGGUGCAAUGCGGCCAGCCGGGACCGAGGAUCGCGCUUCGGCGAGGAUGCUGGCGUAAUGGUCGUAGGCGGCCCGUCUUGAAACACGGACCAAGGAGUCUAACAUCUAUGCGAGUGUUUGGGUGGCAAACCCAUGCGCGCAAUGAAAGUGAACGGAGGUGGGAACCCUCAAGGGCGCACCAUCGACCGAUCCAGAUGUCUUCGGAUGGAUUUGAGUAUGAGCAUAGCUGUUGGGACCCGAAAGAUGGUGAACUACACGUGGAUAGGGUGAAGCCAGAGGAAACUCUGGUGGAGGCUCGCAGCGGUUCUGACGUGCAAAUCGAUCGUCAAAUCAGCGUGUAGGGGCGAAAGACUUAUCGAACCAUUUGAAAUCCCGGGGCCUGCUAGGUGGUUUACGUCAGUCCUGCGGGGCGACGCCGCCAGUCUGCAUGGACGCCGGUCCUCUGAUAUGGAGGCUGGUCUCACAUGCGGUGAUUUAGGAUCGAUCACCCACAGACCAAAUGGCGGUGGCCCGGGACUCUCAGUGAUGUCCAGGGUGAUGACAUGGCCGGGACCGCCCCUGUGACAGGGGUAGAUAGUGUCGCUAGUAGCUGGUUUCGGCCGAAGUUUCCCUCAGGAUAGCAGUAACGUUUUCAGUUUUAUGAGGUAAAGCGAAUGAUUAGAGGCCUUGGGGGCGUAACGCCCUUAACCUAUUCUCAAACUUUAAAUAUGUAAGAAGUCCUUGUUGCUUCGUUGAACGUGGACAUUUGAAUGCACCGUUACUAGUGGGCCAUUUUUGGUAAGCAGAACUGGCGAUGCGGGAUGAACCGAACGCGAGGUUAAGGUGCCGGAAUGCACGCUCAUCAGACACCACAAAAAGUGUUAGUUCAUCUAGACAGCCGGACGGUGGCCAUGGAAGUCGGAACCCGCUAAGGAACGUGUAACAACACACCGGCCGAAUGAACUAGCCUUGAAAAUGGAUGGCGCUCAAGCGUGCUACCCAUACCUCGCCGCCAGGGUAGAAACGACGCCCUGGCGAGUAGGCCGACGUGGAGGUCCGUGACGAAGCCUUGGGGGUGAACCCCGGGUCGAACG
rnacentral:rRNA from 1 species